GACUUUAUAUUCAAUUUUAUGAUAUUAGACUGCAAUUCUGAAGGUGUAGUAAUUUACUAAGGUUU
rnacentral:tRNA from 1 species